UACGGAGGGUGCUAGCGUUGUUCGGAUUUACUGGGCGUAAAGGGCGCGUAGGCGGCGCAACAAGUCACUUGUGAAAUCUCCGGGCUUAACCCGGAGCGGCCAAGUGAUACUGUCGUGCUAGAGUGCGGAAGGGGCUACUGGAAUUCUCGGUGUAGCGGUGAAAUGCGUAGAUAUCGAGAGGAACACCUGCGGCGAAGGCGGGUAGCUGGGCCGACACUGACGCUGAGGCGCGAAAGCCAGGGGAGCGAACGGG
rnacentral:rRNA from 1 species